AACGAACGCUGGCGGCAGGCCUAACACAUGCAAGUCGAGCGCGCCUUCGGGUGAGCGGCGGACGGGUUAGUAACGCGUGGGAACGUGCCCUUCUCUACGGAAUAGCCUCUGGAAACGGAGAGUAAUACCGUAUACGCCCUUUGGGGGAAAGAUUUAUCGGAGAAGGAUCGGCCCGCGUUAGAUUAGGUAGUUGGUGGGGUAACGGCCUACCAAGCCUACGAUCUAUAGCUGGUUUUAGAGGAUGAUCAGCAACACUGGGACUGAGACACGGCCCAGACUCCUACGGGAGGCAGCAGUGGGGAAUCUUAGACAAUGGGGGCAACCCUGAUCUAGCCAUGCCGCGUGAGUGAUGAAGGCCUUAGGGUCGUAAAGCCCUUUCGCCUGUGAUGAUAAUGACAGUAGCAGGUAAAGAAACCCCGGCUAACUCCGUG
rnacentral:rRNA from 1 species